ACUAUACAUUUAGUCAUCGUGGAAUUAUUUCAGAUUACAAAAACAGCAAUAAAUUUAAUUAGGAGAAUUACAAAUUACGAUACGAAUGCACUAAAAAAAAUUCGAAUGAUAACGAGUGUUUGAUAACAACUUUAUCCCAACGUCUAAAUUGCAAACUGAGUUUCAACUUGAAUAAUUUCAACUUAAUAAAUGAUUUAGCGAUGGUAAUCAUCACCUACACUAAAAAAUGGACAAAAAAUACAUCUACUUAAAGUACUAAAUAUCCAAAAUACGAAUUUGAAAAAAAAUUGCUGAAAAAUAAGCUCAGAACUCGAAACACAUUCUCGUUUUCGAAAUUGCUCAGUUUGCAGUUUAGACAUCUACGAAAAUGCUCGUUUUGAUUCGUCACGUUUCGGCCUAUUUCGUUGAACUUGUUAUUUCAAUAACGUAACACAUUAAAAUAUUUCGAUAUUUUUUUUUAUUUUUAAUUAUUUUUCAUGAAACAAUGCAUAAUUAAAGCUACUAAUGCCUUGAAACCUAAUAUUAGAACUUAUUUAGGACACACAGCGUUAAUUUUUAUAUCAGAAUGAGACUAUUUAGCCAGGAAAUGUGAUGUAAUCUUCAUUUUAAAGGUGUUUUUGGUGAUAAGAUCAAGGAAGAUGAGAUUAAUUUGGGAGAAAUUGGAGCCUUUAUUUUUCAGAUGAUUCGAAUGUUUGACUGUUCAAUAGGUUUAAAGAAGAAUAUUUCGAGUGAAAUGAAUACGAAACGAGCAGAUUUUGAAGAAAGCUUUCAAUUUUCACGAUAGUGAAGUCUUAAAUAGGAUUACCGGCAGAAAAUCUCUUAUCACAAAGGGUAAAAAUUCAAAAUUAAUUAUGCAAACACGUACCUUCCACGUUCCAAAAGCAAUAAGGGGACAUUUCAAACCAUUUGUGAAUUCAACAAACGCUUGCUUCUUUUCUUUAUCGAUGGUACUCUUCGGAGUAGGAUGCGAAACAGCAGAUGUCAUUUUGCGAUACAAAAUGCUUCUUUAAAUUCUUCAAUAAAAUACUUGAUUGAAUUUGUUUCCUAUAGAA